rnacentral:rRNA from 1 species
UGACUUCGGGGAUAAGCCUUGGAAACGGGGUCUAAUACCGGAUAUGACACCUUCUCGCAUGGGAUGGGUGUGGAAAGAUUUAUCGGUUGGGGAUGGUCUCGCGGCCUAUCAGCUUGUUGGUGGGGUAAUGGCUCACCAAGGCGACGACGGGUAGCCGGCCUGAGAGGGCGACCGGCCACACUGGGACUGAGACACGGCCCAGACUCCUACGGGAGGCAGCAGUGGGGAAUAUUGCACAAUGGGCGCAAGCCUGAUGCAGCGACGCCGCGUGAGGGAUGAAGGCCUUCGGGUUGUAAACCUCUUUCAGCAGGGAAGAAGCGCAAGUGACGGUACCUGCAGAAGAAGCGCCGGCUAACUACGUGCCAGCAGCCGCGGUAAUACGUAGGGCGCAAGCGUUGUCCGGAAUUAUUGGGCGUAAAGAGCUCGUAGGCGGUUUGUCGCGUCUGGUGUGAAAACUCAAGGCUCAACCUUGGGCGUGCAUCGGGUACGGGCAGACUAGAGUGCGGUAGGGGUGACUGGAAUUCCUGGUGUAGCGGUGGAAUGCGCAGAUAUCAGGAGGAACACCGAUGGCGAAGGCAGGUCACUGGGCCGCAACUGACGCUGAGGAGCGAAAGCAUGGGGAGCGAACAGGAUUAGAUACCCUGGUAGUCCAUGCCGUAAACGUUGGGCACUAGGUGUGGGGCUCAUUCCACGAGUUCCGUGCCGCAGCAAACGCAUAAGUGC